rnacentral:rRNA from 1 species
CUCCUCUUGCUGAUAUAAGAGGUACCAUCUGCCCAAUGCAACAUUGUAAAUGGCCGCAGUAUCCUGACUGUGCUAAGGUAGCAUAAUCAUUAGUCUUUUAAUUGGAGGCUGGUAUGAAUGAUGAGACGAGAAAACAACUGUCUCUAAAAUAAAUUUGGAACUUCAUUUCUAAGUGAAAAAGCUUAGAUGAUUUUGAAGGACGAUCAGACCCUUUGGAGCUUUAUUUAUACUAAUAAUCUUAGUUUAUAUUAUAAAACUAGACUUUAAAUAAAUUUUGUUGGGGCGACAGAGAGUUAAAAAUAACACUCUUUUUUUAUAACAAUCAUAAAUGAAAAAAUGAUCCUCGACGAGAGAUUAGAAGACUAAGUUACCCUAGGGAUAACAGCGUAAUCUUUUUGGAGAGUUCUAAUCGAUAAAAAGGUUUGCGACCUCGAUGUUGGAUUAAGAGAUUAGCAAGGUGCAGAAGUUUUGCUAGAGAGUCUGUUCGACUCU